CCUACGGGUGGCAGCAGUGGGGGAUAUUGCACAAUGGGGGAAACCCUGAUGCAGCGACGCCGCGUGUGGGAAGACGGUCUUCUGGAUUGUAAACCACUGUCCCCAGGGACGAAAAUGACGGUACCUGGGGAGGAAGCUCCGGCUAACUAGGUGCCGGCAGCCGCGGAAAUAGGUAGGGAGCAGGCGUUGUCGGGAAUUAUUGGGUGUAAAGGGAGCGUAGGCGUGGAUGCAAGUUGGGGGUCAAAACUACCGGCUCAACCGGUGGUCGCACUCGAAACUACAGCUCUUGAGUGAAGUAGAGGCAGGCGGAAUUCCUAGUGUAGCGGUGAAAUGCGUAGAUAUUAGGAGGAACACCAGUGGCGAAGGCGGCCUGCUGGGCUUUUACUGACGCUGAGGCUCGAAAGUGUGGGGAGCAAACAGGAUUAGAUACCCCGGUAGUC
rnacentral:rRNA from 1 species